rnacentral:lncRNA from 1 species
UUUUGAAGAACUUGCUUUUCAUUUUAUUUCUCUUUUGUAUUGUUUCUUUUGUUUCAUUUUCAUUUAGUUCCACUCUGAUCUUGGUUAUUUCUCUUCUGCUGCUGUAUUUGGGUUUUUUAUAGGUUACCUGUUGCUUCAGUCUCCCAGCUCUUAAGACUCUUUUCUUCAUCCUAACUUUGGACAGCCUGAUGACAAUGUGCCUAGACAGUGAUCUUCUUGUCAUGAAUUUCCCACAUGCUUUUUUGUGCUUCCUGUAUACGGAUGUCUAGGUUUCUAGCAAGCCCAGGGAAAUUUUCCUUGAUUAUCCCCCAAAAUAUGUUUUCCAAGCUUUUAGAAUGCCCUUCCUCCUCAG